AGUGAACGCUGGCGGUAGGCCUAACACAUGCAAGUCGAACGGCAGCACAGUAAGAGCUUGCUCUUACGGGUGGCGAGUGGCGGACGGGUGAGGAAUACAUCGGCAUCUACUUUUUCGUGGGGGAUAACGUAGGGAAACUUACGCUAAUACCGCAUACGACCUACGGGUGAAAGCAGGGGAUCUUCGUACCUUGCGCGAUUGAAUGAGCCGAUGUCGGAUUAGCUAGUUGGCGGGGUAAAGGCCCACCAAGGCGACGAUCCGUAGCUGGUCUGAGAGGAUGAUCAGCCACACUGGAACUGAGACACGGUCCAGACUCCUACGGGAGGCAGCAGUGGGGAAUAUUGGACAAUGGGCGCAAGCCUGAUCCAGCCAUGCCGCGUGGGUGAAGAAGGCCUCCGGGUUGUAAAGCCCUUUUGUUGGGAAAGAAAAGCAGCAGGUUAAUACCCCGCUGUUCUGACGGUACCCAAAGAAUAAGCACCGGCUAACUUCGUG
rnacentral:rRNA from 1 species